GAACGCACCUUGCGCUCCUUGGUAUUCCGAGGAGCAUGCCUGUUUGAGUGUCAUAUAAUUCUCAACCUUUAUUAGCUUUUGCUGAUUAAUGGCUUGGAUGUGGGGGUUCUCUUUUGCCGGCUUCUUCAGAGGUCAGCUCCCCUUAAAUGCAUUAGCUGGUGCCCCGCGUGGACUGUCUAUUUGGUGUGAUAAUUAUCUACGCCGUGGAUAUCUGCAAUGGGUUGUGCACUGCUUAUAACCGUCUGUUCAUUUGGACAAUACAUGACAAUUUGACCUCAAAUCGGGUGGGACUACCCGCUGAACUUAAG
rnacentral:misc_RNA from 1 species